rnacentral:rRNA from 1 species
UUGCACGCUGGCGGCAGGCCUAACACAUGCCAGUCGAGCGGAUGAAGGGAGCUUGCUCCUGGAUUCAGCGGCGGACGGGUGAGUAAUGCCUAGGAAUCUGCCUGGUAGUGGGGGAUAACGUCCGGAAACGGGCGCUAAUACCGCAUACGUCCUGAGGGAGAAAGUGGGGGAUCUUCGGACCUCACGCUAUCAGAUGAGCCUAGGUCGGAUUAGCUAGUUGGUGGGGUAAAGUCCUACCAAGGCGACGAUCCGUAACUGGUCUGAGAGGAUGAUCAGUCACACUGGAACUGAGACACGGUCCAGACUCCUACGGGAGGCAGCAGUGGGGAAUAUUGGACAAUGGGCGAAAGCCUGAUCCAGCCAUGCCGCGUGUGUGAAGAAGGUCUUCGGAUUGUAAAGCACUUUAAGUUGGGAGGAAGGGCAGUAAGUUAAUACCUUGCUGUUUUGACGUUACCAACAGAAUAAGCACCGGCUAACUUCGUG